GGAGAGAUGGCAGAGUGGUCGAAUGCGGUUGACUCGAAAUCAAUUGUGCCCACUUCGGGCACCGGGGGUUCAAAUCCCUCUCUCUCCGCCA
rnacentral:tRNA from 1 species